GCAAAAUCGAGAUUUGUAUAAAGUGCUGUGGAAGUGCAGACUAAGCAGGGGUUGACUUUCUAGAAAGUUAGGGGAGUGAUCCAGUUUUAAUCUGCUCUCAAUCCUACUUCGUAGUUUCCUUGUGCAUACUCUGAGAAGUUUGAUUGUCUGAAGCCUUCUGCUCUCAACUCGUCAAAGUCAUCCUCCUUCCAGCUUUGUUCCGUUCCUGGUGAGGAGCUGCGUUCCUUUGGAGGAGGAGAGGUGAUUGUGGUGAGCAUGCACCCACUUUUGCAGCUAUCUAAUAAAAAGAUGGAAAUAGUUGGACAACUCAUAUCAACUAUGAGAAUGACUGGUGAUGACUGAUAGUAAGAGCUGGCUACUCAUGCUAACGUUUGUUGCUAGGUUAACUGUAAAACAGUCUCAUGCAGGUCCUUCAGGAGGUGUUACAGAAGAAGGCGUUGUUAUUGGAGAUGGCAGCCCCAUGCACAUUAUUGCCCCCAAAAGCCCUCCACUGGGACAAGAUGUGGAGGAGGACAAUGAUAUUGAUGAUCCUGACCCCGUGAGAAUAUAUAAAAAACUGGAGGCCAAGAUACUUCCUUUUGAAGACAGAUGGCUCAUUCAUAGGAUAUAAAGAGAAACCUCAAGAUGUGGAUUUACCUUAUCCCCUCAACAACUUUUCAGUGGCAA
rnacentral:misc_RNA from 1 species